rnacentral:lncRNA from 1 species
AAUUUUUUCUACCCGUUGUUGAUGUGCUAGUGGAUGGGAAGAUGUCGCGUGCCCUUGUGGACACGGGCUGUACAACGACCCUGAUGACUCCGGGAGUGGUAGAGACGUGGAGUGGAGAAAGCAGUGUGAGGGCAGUCGACGGAAGACAGGUACGCUGUGAAGGCAUUACUGACGUGCAGAUUGAGGUGCAGGGAGCAAAGCUAACGCUGCAAGCAAUUGUAGUUGGUCACUUGGUGGAUGAGAUUGACGUUACGAGAAAGACGUGUUCUGAUCAGGAGCGAUCGUGUACUCCGCUGCGGUCGGCAAGAUAACAGAUUUAUAUUUUUAAAAUGUAAUCCUUGAUUGAAGAAUGCAAGACGGCAACAGCUUCACAGAUGCUUGAAGAACCUGUAGAUUAUGAAUUUGUGUUCAAUACAAGAUCAGAUGAAACACAAUUUACUCCAGAAAAGAAGUUCAAGCUAAAUAUCAACUACACUGUUUUCACCAGACUGGGACUGGGAGGAAGGCCAAAGAAAAAUGACCAAAUACACAUUUCUUAACCCUUUAACUGUAAAAUUAAAUUUCCUGAUUAUUCUAAUAAUGAUGAUAAAUAUCUACCACAAAAUAGAAUUGGUAUUUUUUGCAAGUCACAUUGCCUCAAUAAAUUUGAUGUAUUUCAACAAAAAUUACUUUCAAACACUUACAGUCUUCAACAAAAGAUAAUUUAACGAAUAUAUCUGAUUUCUGCAGUAAAGGGAUUAAUUAGUGCAUUCAGUUCUGUUUAACUAUAAAACGCAUCAACACUUAAUAUGAAACCAUUUAGCAUUAAUCUAUGAAGAAUUUCAAGUCACUUUUGGUUAUUUGU